CCAUGGCGCGGUGAAUACGUUCCCGGGCCUUGUACACACCGCCCGUCAAGCCAUGGAAGCUGGGGGUACCUGAAGUCGGUAACCGAAAGGAGCUGCCUAGGGUAAAACUAGUAACUAGGGCUAAGUCGUAACAAGGUAACCGUA
rnacentral:rRNA from 1 species